CUCCCCGUGGUAGUAGCUAGCGCGGUGCCUCUGCAUUCGCCCUCCCGGUGGAGGCGGCGCAGCGGCAACCCCAACGACGCGACGCCCUGUCGGAGCGGAAGCGGACAACGCCCGUGGCUGUGCCGCCGUGUCCGUGCGUUCUGCGGCGCGCGGGGCCCAUUUUUAGGAACCAAAUCGGCAGUGAAUCGCGCAGCCGCGGCGAGGGUGGCAAGCUGCUGAGUGGUUAGCUCCGCCGCUCCGGCGCGACCUUCCGUCGUUGAGCGGCUUCUAAUGCGGCUGGUGAAAGCUUGUGGAGCUGAGCUCAAGGGAUUCCAAUUGGAGCAGGGCCGUCGGUCGGAACUCGGAAGCCGCCAUCGCCGCCGUUCGACGGCGGCGUGAGGGGUUCCGGCGUGACUGAAGAUCAGGGGCGCCGGUGGGCCGAUUGGUGUCCUCGAGCCUCUCGUCUCCAUCGUCGUCCGCUGGAGCCGGUGAAGAUCAGGAGAUGCCGAAGGGAUUCUGGCCCGCCGAACCGGGACGUCCGUCGGUGUCGGAAGGCCUCAUCACCGCCGGGUUCCGGCCGCCGGCGAGGCGGCGAGAGGAGGGAGAACGAGCGGUAUCUCAUUUGCUUAAACCAUCCUUACUAUUAAUCGCGAUCCAUUUUAAAGGGUUUUACGUAAAAUAGUCAGCGGUAUUUUUAAAUAACUCCUAAUUUGGAUAGGAUUAAUAGUCACGAUCCGGUAUUUUGCAUAAUACCCCCUAAUCUGAUUCCGGUACUUUUCGAACCCGUCCUCGUUCUCGUCCGCAAUGUCAUCCCCUUCCCUCCCGUCGACGGCGCCGUGGCUUCGCCGGCGAUCUGCGGUAAGCUGGGGCACACGUACCGCCCAGCCGCACCUAGCUGCCUCCCUCGUACUCAUCCUCCUGCACCCUUCUCCGUCCCCAACGAGGGGUCCCUGAUGUACGCGGCGGCCCACCGGAUGAUCACUCUAUCGGCGCAGAGCUUCUCCGAAUCUGCCGCCGCCGCCGCCAUCCUGGGAGCGGCCGAGUGGGUCCCUCGUUCGAUCUCCCCCGACGAACAAGGAUGGAACUCCGGGAAGAAAUUUGUAUUUUUGGCACCUCAACACGUGGCUUCGCAUAUUUGACAUUGACUUCGCAAAAUUGACACUCACCACAUUAACACAUUGAUUUACUUGGCAUAUGCCUCUUUAAUGAUUUUAUUUUCUCUUUUUCUAUUUACUAGACGGUGAAAAGACUAAACUACCCUUGAUUUAUGUAGGUACCGCCCAGCACGUCGUAUGUGCCGCCGCCCGCUUGCCUCGCUCGUACGUUUGCGCUCGACGCUGUAAGAUUGGCUUCGCAAAGUUGACACUCACAACAUUGACACAUAUUAUGCCUCUUUAAUAAUUUUAUUUCCUCCUUUUCUAUUUACUGGAUUGGGAAAAGACUAAGGUGUUUGGAUACGAGGUGUUAAACUUUAACAGUGUCACAUCAAAUGUUCGGAUGCUAAUUAGGAGAACUAAAUAUGAGCUAAUUAUAAAACUAAUUGCAGAACCCUAUGCUAAUUCGCGAGACGAAUCUAUUAAGCCUAAUUAAUCCAUCAUUAGCAAAUGGUUACUGUAGCACCACAUUGUCAAAUCAUGUACUAAUUAGGCUUAAUAGAUUCGUCUCGCGAAUUACACUCCAUCUAUGCAAUUAGUUUUGUAAUUAACCUAUGUUUAAUACUCCUAAUUAGCAUUCAAACAUCCGAUGUGACGGGUGUUAAACUUUAACACCGGUGAGCCAAACAGGCCCUAAACUACAACCCUCAAUUUUCUCAGUUUUAUUAACGCGGGCUUGCGCACGGCGCACGGUGUCGACAUCAUUGUCCUUGGCGGCAUAGCGCUGGCGGGACGUCUCAAAGACGAGGAUGUACGGGAGGCCCUUGGAUUUGUAGAGCUUGUGGUUGUCCACGAGCUCGAUCAGCUUCAGCAGCUCGACCACAAGCUUAUGGGUAUCGUCCAGCACGAUGUUAUGAACAAGGUUGUCAGUGCGUCGUGAACAAGGUUGCCAGGGAUGACGACAUCGACGCCGUGCGCCGUGCGCAAACGAGCGAGGCGGCGAGCGGCGGCACGUACGAGUGAGGCGGGCGGGCAGCGGCGCGUCCAACGUUCUGAGCGGUACGUACAUGAAAGCAAGGGUAGUUUAAUCCUUUCACAAUCGGAGGAAAUAAAAUUAUUAAAGAGAUAUAAUGUCAAGUAAAUUAACGUGUCAGUGGUUAUUAAAUUUGGAAGUCUACUUUUGAAGUGUUAAAUAUGCGAAACCACGAGCGUCAAAAAUACAAAUUUCUCAACUCUGGCGAGGUAGAAGAAGAAGAGCGCGCACGAAGCGAAGCGCCACACGGGCCGGCUAGGCCGUCCAAAGGCCAAAGCCCGCCAGCACCGCCGCCCGUUGAGAGAGAGACAAGGGCCGGCCGUGUUGAAAGCGAGAUGGGCUGUAUCAUUCAGGCAUGCCUAUGUGGCUAACUGGCCAUGUCCCGUUUUCGUCAAGAAAAAAACAUAAACAAGCCUGCCGUUUCAUGCCUCUUUUUUUAACGCACCAUUUCAUGCCUUAGAAGCAUCACCCAACAGUUGCCAUCGAAGCAUCACCCAGCAGUUGCCAUCAUCUUCAUAGGAUCGCAGGAAGCGAUUUUCCAUUCAUCUACCAUGUCCUUUUCGUGACUCCUAUCCCUGGAAGCAAAAUGUACCCGGAUGGACGAAGCUGCAAGGCAGGUGUUAUCUGAUAUGGACCUGAGCCCUUGUUUGUUUGGAAUCUGUCAGAGUAUCAGAGUGUUGAACGUUGAACUGAUGUACUCUGAUAAACCUUUUUCUCUUCACUGACUUGGCCCACUGGCACACAACAUAUCAAAUGUCAUCGUCUACAAUGGCUGCACGGUGCUAAGAACACACGGCUACUUUAGUUGCGUAGAAUAUAGGCCUUGUUUAGUUAGGGAAUUUGGGAGGUGCCAAAUUACUGUUACAGCACUGUAGCACACUGUAGCGUUUCGUUUGUAUUUGUGAAUUAUUGUCCAAAUAUUGACUAAUUAGGCUCAAAAGAUUCGUCUCGCAAAGUACAACAAAACUGUGCAAUUAGUUUUUAAUUUCAUCUACAUUUAGUACUCCAUGCAUGUACCGCAAGUUUGAUGUGAUGGGGAAUCUUCUUUUUGCAUAGUGUCAAAGUUGGGAGUAACUAAACAUGUCCAUAGUUUGCCCCUUCUGUUUACACGAUCUUGCUUCACGAGCAGUGGCCACCCUGAAUCAACGACUAUCAAAGCAGUUGCUUCCAAGAACCUUUGAAACAAGACACUGAAAGACCGAAGAGUAUAUUGCCAGAUACUGAACGACUGAAGAGCGUGCCUGACAGCUUGAUCUCCAUUAUUUCAGGUCAAAGGCUCUCCCAGUCUCCCUUAUCAGUAACUCACAGAUAAGUGGAUACUGUGAAGAGCGAAAGACUGAUUAGAGGAGCAACAAGAAACAGUCACGAGAACAGCAAAAGGGACUACUUGUAACAUCAGACUGCCUGCCAUUGCACAUCAAACAUUUACAGGAGUGCAUCCUAUACUGGAGAGUAUGGGACAGGAACUCCACCUUCACCCUCUUCCAUUUCUUUAGGGGUUCUCUAGACACACUGAAGACUGAACUGAACACAACUUAGAGAGCAGCAGCAGUAAACAGCAGCUGCAUUUUUGUUCUCUUUUUGGGUCAUUUUUUACUUGCUUGCUAUACAAAAGGACACUUCUUCUACUUCUACUACUUCCAGUUACUAGACUUGAACUUGAAAGACCCAGACCACAACGGCAGCAGCCAGGAGCAGGAGCAAACGCUGCAAGAGGGCACAACAGCCUUGCUCGGUUACUCGUCAGGAUGACGAGCCUAGCGGGGCUGGUGGAUCACACGGGGGGCGCUGCUGCCCUUUGGGCUGCCGGCGUACUUGGUCGGCUUCUCGGCGUUCCUGGGCUUCUCCCGGAACCCGCGCGGCGCGUCGCCGCCCUUCGGGGAGGUCAGGUUCAGCGCCUUGAGCACCUCGUCUGCACACAGAAGGCACAUGCGGGUAUGCAGGUGAGCUCACCGCGACUCAUGUAUCGAAAUCGAAGGCAAGCCGCAACGAGAGGAGAGAGAGAGAGAGAGAGAGAGAGAGAGAGAGAGAGAGAGAGAGAGAGAGAGAGAGAGAGAUCCGUACCGGUCUUGAGGUUGGCGGCGGGCGCGGGCUGCUGCGGGGCCUCGACGGCGGCGGGGGCGUGCUCCGGCAGGUCGCCGUAGAAGAGGUCCUCGUCGUCGUCCAGGGCGUCGGGCAGGAGGCCGGCCGCGUCGAGCUCCUCGGCCAUCUCGUCGAGCUGGGUGUGCUCCCGGGACCAGUGGUCGCGGAACCAGGCGGUGGUGGUGACGAGGUCCCACCACUGCGGCGAGAAGUCCUCCACCUGCAGCAGCGCCGCCGGGAUGAAGAGCGGCGCGUCCGGGUUCAGCGACGAGGAGGAGACCGCCACGGCGCUCAUGGCUCACCCUCCUGCUCCUUCCUGAUCGCACCAGAACAAAACCAGAUCCAAAUCAGAUCGCAGCGAGCGCCCGAAACCACAGCUAGAAAUCAAGAGCAAGCGGCGUCAAAUCCCCGGCACGAGAAAGCGAGAGGAGGAAAACAAAAUCCGAGAGAUUUCUAGAUCGAAGGAAAACCGCAGAUCUAGAACGAGGAGGAUCGUAACAGACGGCGAUCUAGGCACGAACGCGACGCAAUGCUACAGAUCGGAGGAAGGCGGGCGGGAUCGCUCGUCCCCGGAGCUCACCUCUCGCUUCCUUGAUGGAUGGAUCUGCCGGCGCGGGGAGGGUCUCGGCAACGGCAACGGACGGGAAGGGGAAC
rnacentral:lncRNA from 1 species